rnacentral:rRNA from 1 species
CACGCCGUAAACUAUGGAUGCUAGCUGUUAGAAGUAUCGACCCUUCUAGUAGCGAAGCUAACGCGUUAAGCAUCCCGCCUGUGGAGUACGGCCGCAAGGCUAAAACAUAAAGGAAUUGACGGGGACCCGCACAAGCGGUGGAGCGUGUUGUUUAAUUCGAUGAUAAGCGAAGAACCUUACCCAGGCUUGACAUCCUUGGAAGCACUGCGAAAGCAGAGUGUGCCUUCGGGAACCAAGUGACAGGUGA